GACAGAGGGUGCAAACGUUGCUCGGAAUUACUGGGCGUAAAGCGCGUGUAGGUGGAUUGGUGUGUCAGAUGUGAAAGCCCUGGGCUCAACCCAGGAACUGCACCUGAAACUACCAGUCUUGAGUGGUGGAGAGGGAAGUGGAAUUCCUGGUGUAGAGGUGAAAUUCGUAGAUAUUCGGAGGAACACCAGUGGCGAAGGCGGCUCACUGGUCCAUUACUGACGCCGAGGUGCGAAAGCGUGGGGAGCAAACAGG
rnacentral:rRNA from 1 species